rnacentral:lncRNA from 10 species
CUGCACUCCAGCCUGGGAGACAGAGCGACUCCGUCUCUACAGAAAAAAGAAAAAGCUUUGAAUGAUGCAUUGGCCCACGUGGACCACCUUCCAUUUCCCAAGACUUUUUGAAGGCAAUGAAUGAGAAGAAAGCAGAGAAAACAGUGGGCGUGAGGUCAGAUGACUCAGGCUUGAGUACUGAUCACAUCAAGGAUUGGACGCACUGCUCUUAGGAAGGCACAACUUCUACUACUUUCAGUCUUAUCAACUGUGAGAGUGUACCCUUGCUGUAGAUGCCACCCGCCCAGCAGUCCUCAUCAUCUUGGCCCAGGAUCACCUGAAACAGAUGAUCCUCCUUUUGAGCUACCAUCAGAAGGUCCACAGUACUAGCCCAGCGCUACAUCCCAAUGCCUACGCCAUUCAUCUCACCUCAUCUCAUCACGUAGACAUUUCAUCAUGUCACAUCAUCACAAGAAGGGAAUCUAUUCACAAAUAAGGUUUUGUGGAUUCAACAGCUUUACUGAAGAUAUGUAGAUUGUUGUUAGCGCUUCCUACCUUGCACAGCCUCUUGUCCCGUCACUGGCCCCAUGCAUCUUCCUCUGCUGCCUUCAAGAAGCUCCAGAUCCUGCCACAGACGUGCUCCACUCAGAGGACUGGAGUCCAAUCCCCUGACAGUGCUUUUCUCUUUGGGAAGCACCCCCUCCCCCACUGCCAUUAAACCUCUGGAA